AUUGAACGCUGGCGGAAUGCUUUACACAUGCAAGUCGAACGGCAGCACGGACUUCGGUCUGGUGGCGAGUGGCGAACGGGUGAGUAAUGUAUCGGAACGUGCCCAGUCGGGGGGGAUAACGAAAUGAAAAUUACGCUAAUACCGCAUACGAUCUAGGGAUGAAAGCGGGGGAUCGCAAGACCCCGCGCGAUUGGAGCGGCCGAUAUCAGAUUAGGAAGUUGGUGGGGUAAAGGCCCACCAAGCCAACGAUCUGUAGCUGGUCUGAGAGGCCGACCAGCCACACUGAACCUGAGAAACGGUCCAGAAUCCUACGGGAGUAAGCAGUGGGGAAUUUUGGACAAUGGGCGAAAGCCUGAUCCAGCCAUUCCGCGUGCAGGAUGAAGGCCCUCGGGUUGUAAACUGCUUUUGUACAGAACGAAAAGGUUUCUACUAAUACUAGGAGCUCAUGACGGUACUGUAAGAAUAAGCACCGGCUAACUACGUGCCAGCCGCCGCAGUAA
rnacentral:rRNA from 1 species